UGGGGAAUAUUGCACAAUGGGGGAAACCCUGAUGCAGCGACGCCGCGUGAGGGAAGAAGGUUUUCGGAUUGUAAACCUCUGUCUUUGGUGACGAUAAUGACGGUAGCCAAAGAGGAAGCUACGGCUAACUACGUGCCAGCAGCCGCGGUAAUACGUAGGUGGCAAGCGUUGUCCGGAAUUACUGGGUGUAAAGGGAGCGUAGGCGGGGAGACAAGUUGAAUGUUUAAACUAUCGGCUUAACCGGUAGUCGCGUUCAAAACUGUUUUCUUGAGUGAAGUAGAGGCAGGCGGAAUUCCUAGUGUAGCGGUGAAAUGCGUAGAUAUUAGGAGGAACACCAGUGGCGAAGGCGGCCUGCUGGGCUUUAACUGACGCUGAGGCUCGAAAGCGUGGGUAGCAAACAGGAUUAGAUACCCUGGUAGU
rnacentral:rRNA from 1 species